UACAGAGGGGGCAAGCGUUAUUCGGAAUUAUUGGGCGUAAAGGGCGCGUAGGCGGCCACUCAAGUGACGGGUGAAAGCCCUCGGCUUAACCGGGGAACUGCGUCUGAUACUGGAUGGCUUGAGUUCGGGAGAGGGAUGCGGAAUUCCAGGUGUAGCGGUGAAAUGCGUAGAUAUCUGGAGGAAUACCGGUGGCGAAGGCGGCAUCCUGGACCGACAUUGACGCUGAGGAGCGAAAGCUAGGGGAGCAAACGGG
rnacentral:rRNA from 1 species